rnacentral:rRNA from 1 species
GACGAACGCUGGCGGCGCGCCUAACACAUGCCAGUCGAACGAGCGAGAGGAGGUUUACUUUCUCAAGCGAGUGGCGAACGGGUGAGUAACGCGUGAGGAACCUGCCUCAAAGAGGGGGACAACAGUUGGAAACGACUGCUAAUACCGCAUAAGCCCACGACCCGGCAUCGGGUAGAGGGAAAAGGAGCAAUCCGCUUUGAGAUGGCCUCGCGUCCGAUUAGCUAGUUGGUGAGGUAAUGGCCCACCAAGGCGACGAUCGGUAGCCGGACUGGGAGGUUGAACGGCCACAUUGGGACUGGGACACGGCCCAGACUCCUACGGGAGGCAGCAGUGGGGAAUAUUGCACAAUGGGGGAAACCCUGAUGCAGCGACGCCGCGUGGAGGAAGAAGGUCUUCGGAUUGUAAACUCCUGUUAUUGAGGAAGAUAAUGACGGUACUCAAAAAGGAAGUGACGGCUAACUACGUG